rnacentral:rRNA from 1 species
GAUGAACGCUGGCGGCGUGCCUAAUACAUGCAAGUCGAGCGAACAGACGAGGAUCUUGCUCCUCUGACGUUAGCGGCGGACGGGUGAGUAACACGUGGAUAACCGACCUAUAAGACUGGGAUAACUUCGGGAAACCGGAUCUAAUACCGGAUAAUAUAUUGAACCGCAUGGUUCAAUAGUGAAAGACGGUUUUGCUGUCACUUAUAGAUGGAUCCGCGCCGCAUUAGCUAGUUGGUAAGGUAACGGCUUACCAAGGCAACGAUGCGUAGCCGACCUGAGAGGGUGAUCGGCCACACUGGAACUGAGACACGGUCCAGACUCCUACGGGAGGCAGCAGUAGGGAAUCUUCCGCAAUGGGCGAAAGCUUGACGGAGCAACGCCGCGUGAGUGAUGAAGGUCUUCGGAUCGUAAAACUCUGUUAUUAGGGAAGAACAAAUGUGUAAGUAACUAUGCACGUCUUGACGGUACCUAAACAGAAAGCCCCGGCUAACUACGUG